UUCGCUUGUUCCACUGAAGGUCCCUCAACCCAUCGCAUAUGGUCUCGGCUAAUCUCAAGAAAGACAUCCUGGGGGGCAAGGAUGUUAACCUGGUCUCACUCCUAAUUGCCUCCCAGGAUUACAUUGAGAACAGGACAUAUGCAUAUAGGGAUAUAUCAGUGGUGCUGAGAGCUAGAGACCCUCAAUUGAACAAAAAACUGUCAAUACCUG